rnacentral:lncRNA from 1 species
CUUACCGCCUGUCUUAGGGAGAUAAAGGCAUGGAUGAGCAACAACUUUCUCCAGCUAAACAGUAGCAAAACCGAAGCCCUUCUUGUUGGCACUCCACACCAGGUUCAGUCAUCCUCCUUAACUCAUCUCACCUUCGACAGCCAGGUCAUCCCCCUCUCCUCCACAGUCACUAAUCUCGGAGUUAGGUUUGACCCUCAUCUGACCUUUAAUGACCAUAUAAAACACCUGUGCAAAACCUCCUUUUAUCAUCUAAGAAACAUCUCCAAACUCCGCCCCACUUUAACCCUAUCAGAUGCAGAGAAGCUUGUCCACGCCUUUAUCUCCUCAAGACUGGACUAUUGUAAUUUGCUUUUCUAUGGGAUCACUGGCAAGAACAUCCAGAAGCUGCAAUACAUCCAAAACAGCGCUGCCAGGAUCCUGAUGAGGGUCCGGAAAUAUGAGCACAUAACACCAAUAUUACACUCACUACACUGGCUCCCUGUCUCUUUCCGGAUUGACUACAAAGUCCUUAUACUCGCCCAUACAUGCAUAAAUGGGCAUGCACCUCCCUACCUGCAAGAAUUAAUUACUCCCCAAACCUCCACCUGCACCCUCAGGUCUUCAAACAGCUCGCUCCUCCGCGUCCCCAAAACCAAGCUCCGCACCAUGGGCGACCGGGCCUUUUGCUCGGCAGCGCCACGCUUAUGGAACAGCCUCCCUGACCACCUAAGGGCAACGCAGACACUGGACUCCUUUAAAGCUGGACUAAAAACAUUUUUAUUCAGGAAGGCAUUUCUGGCCUUGUGUUAAAUCGUAUGUUAAAAUGUUAAAAAGUUUUCUAUUAUGCUUAUGUUAAUUCUUUUUUAUUUUAUUGUAUUAUUAUAGUUAGUUUCUAAUAUGUUGGCACUCUGAGAUUCUUUUGAAUGAAGAGUGCAUUACAAAUAAAAUUAAUUAUUAUUAUUAUUAUUACAUGUUAUUCUGACAGGAGUUGUUUAUAGGGUUCAUGUCCAGAGGGAAAGAUAAGAGAGAG